GCCGAGGGAGAGCCCAUGGCCAUCAGGGUGCUGGAAUGCAUGUCACACUGCAUUACGUGCAUUACGAUCCACGCUGCAAUGACAGCCCAGAGCGUGGAGAACCCAGAGAGGGUGGGGAGAUGGAAUCCCGGCGAGCCAGCGCUGGCAGGGACCACGGGGAGCAGCUGGUCCAGCCGCCGGUUUUCCAAGAGAGAAGACUAAGAAGUGAGUCACUUGCCCACAGCCACAGAGAGAAGGAGGGCAACGAGGCCGGCAGACCAGCCCCCCAGCAUUGACCUGGAUGCCUGCCACAGCCUCCUCCCUGGUCUCCGGCCUCCCACCUCUGCUCCUCGGUCUCCUCUACCCAGCCAGUAACUGCAGAGAGCACUAAAGCACAGUCCUGGCAUCUCACCCCCUUAACCCUGGCCACGGCUUCCCAGUGCCUCCAAGAUAAAGCACCAACACCUGAGGACAGCAGCUUGUUUUGAGAGUCCCCUCCAUUGAAACACGCACAUCUAAUUUGUCCUUCAGUUCGCUGGACUCCACGCUGAACGUGCCAUGCUCCAUUGCCCCGUGAGUAACUCCAUGCUCUUGCCGGUUUCACACGGCCUCUCAGAGCUGGAGCCUUUGUUCAGGAGCCCUGGGCAGCUUUCAGGAAGCUCUUGGGCUCAUCAGCUUCCUCUGGCUGAAGCCGCCCCAGUGGAAUCAUGGGGAUUUCUUACUUUGAAGGUGGGGCCACCCGCAGACUGUAACCGGCUGGUUCAAGAUCAAGGACUUCCCCAGGCCACCUGCCUCAGAGGCAAGAAAGGCUCAGCUGAGUCCCAGACACUCCUCGCUGUGGCCCCUCCUUCCUCCCUGCUGGGCAGGCCCCCCUCAAUUCUGUUUGCCAGCAGGGCCUAGUAACACUGAAAGACGAAAAGGGAAAUAAAAUAAACACAAUUAAUAGGCUAAAGGUUACUGAAUAAAGUGGCAGCAGUAAAUAAAUUGACUACUGUGCAAAUACAAAGACAUGAAGACAUGAAACCCCUGCUCUAAAUGACCACUCACCAAGAGCAAGGCCUGGGCUGGAGGCAGGGAGCACCUCCCUAAGGAGCACUCCCUCUUUCCCGGAGUGAGUCCUCCUUCUAGAUGGAAUUCAGUCCGGGUUCCUCUUGAGCCACAGUCCCUGUUGGGGCCUAUCUCAGUGGACUCAAGAUCCUGAACUUCUUCCAGAUUGCUGACUACACAUUUGAGUCACCCAGAGAUUAAAAGAAAAAACAAAUAAUUUCCCAGUGAUCAGGAGUAAAUCAGCUGGGGCAGGGUUGGUGCUAUGAAUGACCACACUGAUUUGUACACUUCACUGAUUUGUAGUGUUUGCUAUUUCCGUCGUGUAAAUACUGCCAACAUGGACAAUCUUCAGUUGCUAAUGGUUUACUAACUGGCUUGUAAAUGAAUUCAUUCAGUAUUCAAGAAAAUGGCACUACAUUUAGAAACAUUUUGUAGCAUUUCUUACUUUCUAAGAAUUUCCAAUAGACACCAUGAUCACUAAAAAAUCAUAACCAGGCUGGGGGCAGUGGCUCACGCCUAUAAUUCCAAUAAUUUGGGAGACCAAGGAGGGAAGAUCACUUGAGGCCAGGAGUUUGAGACCAGCCUGGGCAACAUAGCAAAG
rnacentral:lncRNA from 1 species